GAAUAUUUGAGCUGAAUCAGUUUUUACUGUGUAAGUUGUAGAUUUGUUCCCUCUGUGGAGUCCACAGCUUCAUGCAGUCGGUUUAGCUGACUUUCUUGUGGCACUGAGGGCAGUUUGAGUGCAUUACAGCAGACUGAUCUUCUCUGUUAUCUUUCCAGUGUGAGUGCACGAAAGGAUCUCACAGAUGAACAUGUGGCCCCUGACACUCCAGCCACCUCUUCUGCACCAGUCUCACCUCCAGCUGAGGCUCAGACGAAUAAAUCAAAGAAGGCUUCCUGGUGGCGCAGAUGGCUUUUUUGUGAGAAAAAGUCAAAGGUUUUUCCCAAAAAUGAAGACAAGGCAGAAGACACGGUCGUGCCACCUUCUGAA
rnacentral:lncRNA from 1 species